rnacentral:rRNA from 1 species
UGCUGCUGGAUCAUUA